GACGAACGCUGGCGGCGUGCUUAACACAUGCAAGUCGAACGGUGAAGCCUUCGGGUGGAUCAGUGGCGAACGGGUGAGUAACACGUGAGCAAUCUGCCCUUGACUCUGGGAUAACUUCGGGAAGCCGGAGCUAAUACCGGAUAUGACAUCUGGCCGCAUGGUCUGGGUGUGGAAAGAUUUAUCGGUCAAGGAUGAGCUCGCGGCCUAUCAGCUUGUUGGNGGGGUAAUGGCCCACCAAGGCGACGACGGGUAGCCGGCCUGAGAGGGCGACCGGCCACACUGGGACUGAGACACGGCCCAGACUCCUACGGGAGGCAGCAGUGGGGAAUAUUGCGCAAUGGGCGGAAGCCUGACGCAGCGACGCCGCGUGAGGGAUGAAGGCCUCGGUCGUAA
rnacentral:rRNA from 1 species